ACGACUGCUAAGACUGGAUAGGAGAUAAGAAGGCAUCUUCUUAUUUUUAAAAGACCUAGCAAUAGGUAUGCUUAGGGAAGAGCUUGCGUCACAUUAGUUAGUUGGUGGGGUAAUGGCCUACCAAGACGAUGAUGUGUAGCCGGGCUGAGAGGUCGAACGGCCACAUUGGGACUGAGACACGGCCCAAACUCCUACGGGAGGCAGCAGUAAGGAAUUUUCGACAAUGGAGGAAACUCUGACCGAGCAAUGCCGCGUGAACGAUGAAGUAUUUCGGUACGUAAAGUUCUUUUAUUAGGGAAGAAAAGAUGGUGGAAAAACCAUUAUGACGGUACCUAAUGAAUAGGCCCCGGCUAACUAUGUGCCAGCAGCCGCGGUAAUACAUAGGGGGCAAGCGUUAUCCGGAAUUAUUGGGAGUAAAGGGUGCAUAGGCGGUUAAAUAAGUUUAUGGUCUAAGUGCAACGCUCAACGUUGUGAUGCUAUAAAAACUGUUUAGCUAGAGUUGGAUAGAGGCAAGUGGAAUUCCGUGUGUAGUGGUAAAAUGCGUAAAUAUACGGGAGGAACACCAGAAGCGAAGGCGGCUUGCUGGGUCUUAACUGACGCUGAGGCACGAAAGCGUGGGGAGCAAACAGGAUUAGAUACCCUGGUAGUCCACGCCCUAAACGAUGAGUACUAAACGUUGGAUAAAACCAGUGUUGAAGUUAACACAUUAAGUACUCCGCCUGAGUAGUACGUACGCAAGUAUGAAACUUAAAGGAAUUGACGGGACUCCGCACAAGUGGUGGAUCAUGUUGUUUAAUUCGAAGGUACCCGAAAAACCUCACCAGGUCUUGACAUGCUUUUGCAAAGCUGUAGAAAUACAGUGGAGGUUAUCAGAAGCACAGGUGGUGCAUGGUUGUCGUCAGCUCGUGUCGUGAGAUGUUGGGUUAAGUCCCGCAACAAGCGCAACCCUUGUUGUUAAUUGCCAUCAUUAAGUUGGGGACUUUAGCAAGACUGCCAAUGAUAAAUUGGAGGAAGGUGGGGACGACGUCAAAUCAUCAUGCCCCUUAUGACCUGGGCUACAAACGUGAUACAAUGGCUGUUACAAAGGGUAGCUAAAGCGUAAGCUUCUGGCGAAUCUCAAAAAAGCAGUCUCAGUUCGGAUUGAAGUCUGCAACUCGACUUCAUGAAGUUGGAAUCGCUAGUAAUCGCGAAUCAGCAUGUCGCGGUGAAUACGUUCUCGGGGUUUGUACACACCGCCCGUCAA
rnacentral:rRNA from 1 species